UGUUUGUUGGUAUGCUUGUUUGUUGGCUUGUCUACAAUUACGCCGCAACAAAGCAACGGAUUGAGUGAUUUUUGCAUGGAUAUACUUACCUUAUUAUAGAAUCUGGAGAGUGACAUAAGGUACUU